UACGUAGGUGGCAAGCGUUGUCCGGAUUUAUUGGGUUUAAAGGGUGCGUAGGCGGUUCCAUAAGUCAGUGGUGAAAUACGGCAGCUCAACUGUCGAGGUGCCAUUGAUACUGCGGAACUGAGUUGUUGAUGAGGCAGGCGGAAUUGACGGUGUAGCGGUGAAAUGCUUAGAUAUCGUCAAGAACACCGAUAGCGAAGGCAGCUUGCCAAGCAACAACUGACGCUCAGGCACGAAAGUGCGGGGAUCAAACAGG
rnacentral:rRNA from 1 species